rnacentral:rRNA from 1 species
UGCCAGCCGCCGCGGUAAUACGGAGGAUCCAAGCGUUAUCCGGAAUCAUUGGGUUUAAAGGGUCCGUAGGCGGUCUGAUAAGUCAGAGGUGAAAUCCUGCAGCUCAACUGUAGCAUUGCCUUUGAUACUGCCAGACUUGAGUUAUUGUGGAGUAGUUAGAAUGUGUAGUGUAGCGGUGAAAUGCAUAGAUAUCGGGAAGAACACCAGUGGCGAAGGCAGUUCACUGGACCGUGAUCGACGCUGAGGAGCGAAAGUGUGGGGAGCAAACAGGAUUAGAUA